CUUAGCCCUAGUAGCUUAACAUAAUAGCGCUG
rnacentral:tRNA from 1 species